rnacentral:rRNA from 1 species
ACGCUGGCGGCAGGCCUAACACAUGCAAGUCGAGCGGUAGCACAGAAGAGCUUGCUCUCUGGGUGACGAGCGGCGGACGGGUGAGUAAUGUCUGGGAAACUGCCUGAUGGAGGGGGAUAACUACUGGAAACGGUAGCUAAUACCGCAUGACCUCGCAAGAGCAAAGUGGGGGACCUUCGGGCCUCACGCCAUCGGAUGUGCCCAGAUGGGAUUAGCUAGUAGGUGGGGUAAUGGCUCACCUAGGCGACGAUCCCUAGCUGGUCUGAGAGGAUGACCAGCCACACUGGAACUGAGACACGGUCCAGACUCCUACGGGAGGCAGCAGUGGGGAAUAUUGCACAAUGGGCGCAAGCCUGAUGCAGCCAUGCCGCGUGUGUGAAGAAGGCCUUAGGGUUGUAAAGCACUUUCAGCGAGGAGGAAGGCGUUGUAGUUAAUAGCUGCAGCGAUUAACGUUACUCGCAGAAGAAGCACCGGCUAACUCCGUGCCAGCAGCCGCGGUAAUACGGAGGGUGCAAGCGUUAAUCGGAAUUACUGGGCGUAAAGCGCACGCAGGCGGUUUGUUAAGUCAGAUGUGAAAUCCCCGAGCUUAACUUGGGAACUGCAUUUGAAACUGGCAGCUAGAGUCUUGUAGAGGGGGGUAGAAUUCCAGGUGUAGCGGUGAAAUGCGUAGAGGUCUGGAGGAAUACCGGUGGCGAAGGCGGCCCCCUGGACAAAGACUGACGCUCAGGUGCGAAAGCGUGGGAGCAAAC